UUUUUAUGUGGACCUCCGUCCUUGUGCCUCUGGUGCUUGGAUGGAACCACGUAAGCAGGUGAAACUUCUUAGAGGAACUGGCGUCCGAAAAGGCGCACGAGAAAGAGCAAUAACAGGUCUGUGAUGCCCUAAGAUGUCCGGGGCCGCACGCGUGCUACAAUGACGAUGCUACUGAGCAUGAUUAACUUGUCCGAAAGGAUUGGUGAAACUGUUCAAUCAUCGUCGUGACUGGGAUUGGGGUUUGUAAUUAUCCCCCAUGAACCAGGAAUUCCUAGUAAGCACAAGUCAUAAGCUUGUGCUGAUUACGUCCCUGCCCUUUGUACACACCGCCCGUCGCUACUACCGAUUGAAUGGUUUAGCAAGGACAUUGGAUCGAGCCUUUGCGGUUCACGCUGCUUUGGUUUGAGAAGCUGUCCGAACUUGAUCAUUUAGAGGAAGUAAAAGUCGUAACAAGGUUUCCGUAGGUGAACCUGCGGAAGGAUCAUUA
rnacentral:rRNA from 2 species